rnacentral:rRNA from 1 species
GCACAAGCGGUGGAGCAUGUGGUUUAAUUCGAUGCAACGCGAAGAACCUUACCUGGUCUUGACAUCCACGGAAGUUUUCAGAGAUGAGAAUGUGCCUUCGGGAACCGUGAGACAGGUGCUGCAUGGCUGUCGUCAGCUCGUGUUGUGAAAUGUUGGGUUAAGUCCCGCAACGAGCGCAACCCUUAUCCUUUGUUGCCAGCGGUCCGGCCGGGAACUCAAAGGAGACUGCCAGUGAUAAACUGGAGGAAGGUGGGGAUGACGUCAAGUCAUCAUGGCCCUUACGAUCAGGGCUACACACGUGCUACAAUGGCGCAUACAAAGAGAAGCGACCUCGCGAGAGCAAGCGGACCUCAUAAAGUGCGUCGUAGUCCGGAUUGGAGUCUGCAACUCGACUCCAUGAAGUCGGAAUCGCUAGUAAUCGUGGAUCAGAAUGCCACGGUGAAUACGUUCCCGGGCCUU